rnacentral:rRNA from 1 species
UGGGGAAUCUUAGACAAUGGGCGCAAGCCUGAUCUAGCCAUGCCGCGUGAGCGAUGAAGGCCUUAGGGUUGUAAAGCUCUUUCAGCGAGGAAGAUAAUGACUGUACUCGCAGAAGAAGCCCCGGCUAACUCCGUGCCAGCAGCCGCGGUAAUACGGAGGGGGCUAGCGUUGUUCGGAAUUACUGGGCGUAAAGCGCACGUAGGCGGACUGGAAAGUCAGGGGUGAAAUCCCGGGGCUCAACCCCGGAACUGCCUUUGAAACUCCCAGUCUUGAGGUCGAGAGAGGUGAGUGGAAUUCCGAGUGUAGAGGUGAAAUUCGUAGAUAUUCGGAGGAACACCAGUGGCGAAGGCAGGUUACCAAGAUAUAACUGACGCUGAGGGACGAAAGCGUGGGGAGCGAA